rnacentral:rRNA from 1 species
AUUGAACGCUGGCGGCAGGCCUAACACAUGCAAGUCGAGCGAGCGGCGGACGGGCGAGUAAGUUCUGGCUAAGUGCUUGCUGGGGCGGGGUAACUACCGGAAAGGGUAGCUAAUAACGCCCACCAUCGGAUGUGCCCAUAUGGGAUUAGCUAGUAGGUGGGGUAACGGCUCACCAAGGCGACGAUCCCUAGCUGGUCUGAGAGGAUGACCAGCCACACUGGAACUGAGACACGGUCCAGACUCCUACGGGAGGCAGCAGUGGGGAAUAUUGCACAAUGGGGGCAACCCUGAUGCAGCCAUGCCGCGUGUGUGAAGAAGGCCUUCGGGUUGUAAAGCACUUUCAGCGGGGAGGCGUUACCCGCAGAAGAAGCACCGGCUAACUCCGUGCCAGCAGCCGCGGUAAUUC